rnacentral:lncRNA from 1 species
AUAUACUUCUCUGUAAGAGUCAAAAUCUGCUUCUCACUGUGGCGAAAGCCAGACCACGGGUAGCCCUACAUGGAAGUUGUACAGCCAGCAGAGAGCACAGGAGCAGAGUUAUGGCAAGAGGCACAUCACCGGGUCUCUGAUGAGAUCAGCCAUGGAUACUGUGGAGUGAGAAGGAAGUCCCUUAUCACAGCACACAUGGGUUUGCUGGGUUUGGGUCAGCAUACUUAGAAGAUAGAAUUGCACUGGCAGCUCCCCAGUCUCUCUCAGGUGGACAAAUGAAGACAAAAAGGCAGAAACAACAAGCCUGUGGCCUCACAUCAAGCCUGCCAGAAACAGAAUGGAAAUGCAGGAGUCUGGCAUAACUUCCAGAGGUCUGAUUGCCCUGCGGGGGAUGUGCUCAGCCUCUACCUGGAGAUAGAGUACCAGAAUAUCCCCAGUUGGAAAGGGAUAUCCAACCUGCCCCUCUCCUGACACAGCUCCAUGCCGUUCCCUCGGGCCCUGUCGCUGUCACACAGAGCAGAGCUCAGCGCUGCCUCUCCACUCCCUGUGAGGAGCUGCAGCCGCCAUGAGGCCUCCCCACAGCUCCUCUGCUCCUGGCUGAGCCAACCAGGGGACCUCAGCUGCUGCUCAUACGUCUCCCCUCUAGACUUUGGGGUUGUUUUGCUUUGCAAUCAUCCCCUCCAUCAAUGCCUGUUAAAUUGUUUGUCUUUAUCCACUCGUUUCCAUCCCCCACUACUUAACUCCUAUAAAACAGGCCCGCUGGCCUUUGUUUGCAGUGCUGGAAAAGGUGUAAUAACAAUAUUUCCAAUAUUCAAUAUUUUUGUUCAAACCAUCUUGAGAAAACAUUUUUUAAUGAAACACAUUUACUACUCCUCAUUUCUGUGUGAUCUGUCUGAUUUCCUAACUCUUCAAAAUGACAAAAAACAUUUGCCUGCUCAGAGAUGUUGGCCCUAAGCCCAUCACGCCCACGGGCUGUGGUUGUAUGAUAAGAAAUGUUUGCCUAAUUCUCCAUACUCUGGAAUUAUAACCUUAGUAUAAUGAAGAGAAAAAGCCCUUUACAUAAGCAAUUCCACCAGAACAUGGAAUUAAAGGACGAAUCCAAUCUAGGCAACUCAGGGGAGCAGCAUACAUGUAUUUACUUUCAGAGAUUACCUCUUGGAGAACGCAAAGAUACUACAGUGAGAGUUGCCAUUCUAAAAUCAAAAUACAGAUGGCUGUAGUCACAGUGAGACUGCUCCUGAGUGUACCAGAAAUGCUUCUGCCUCUGCUUUCUGCAGCUUGCUCUCAUGCAAGACUGGCAGAUAACCAGUGCAGCAUGGGUUAAAAAAAAAUAAAUGGUAGACCACAGAAUCCAACUUUGCAAGCUGUCAGUCUGUUCAGGUAGAUGUUAACAAACCUCAGCUCUUGAUUUCAGUGCUUUGCUGGGCUGCUGGGCUAGGCAGAAGAAGGCAUGCGAUAUACUCAGUGCUUUCAACAAGACUCUCUGCCUGUGCCAGUUUUCUUCUCCUGUGGAUGGGAUGAGACACAGAUAGUAUUUCUUGGUGAGUUGUGGGUAUUUCUGCAAAUCACUUAAAUGACCUUGCAGCAAUUCCAGCAGAUAACAUUAUACAUUCUCCCCCUUCCUUUAUAAAUCACAUCUUUAUGUCUUUUAGGCUUAGGGAUACAAUUGUCCCAUUGCAUGGCUCACUACAACAAAAUGUUUCUUUCUCACUGUGGUGCCUUAACACUGUGCAAAUGCUUCUUUGUACUUCCUGAUACCAAAAGCUACUCACAAACAAUAGAUGAACUGUUUAUGUUUAUGUAGCUUUCCCUUUCCCCAGAAUUGACACAACAGUUUCAUUUUGAAUACUUCAGCAUCUGUUGAGUCUGUACUCUACAGGGUCUUCACAUCCUGCUUCUAAGCACACUCUGAUAUGUUCCUUCCCUGACAAUGCUAGGCAGCACAGGGGCUGGUCUCUUACCUCAUGUCCAGCUUUCCCAGGGAGUUGUGGGUGCUCCUCUGCCUGUCUCGCCAGCAGGGCCCCAUUCAAGGGCAAUAUCCAGCCCCUGACCAGGUAUGUGCCGCAGUGGCAAGGCAUGUCCUACUGCACUGCUUUCUCCCAUCAUAAAUGUUUUCUUUUGGCUACUUUCCAAGCUUUGCUGUUGGCACAGUGACUUCCUGAGCACCCUCCAGCUGCAGCAUGAGUCAUGCAGAGAAUGUGGGCACUGCCCUGCUCUGGGCUUCAGUCUUCUUAAAUAUGAAUGAGCAUAGUGGCCAGCCACAGAGGAUUCUAAAAUGGAGAAGAGCAACUGACCAGAGACUUGUAUGUGAAACAAGUCUCUGAGAAGUCUGAUGCUGGUCAUAUGGACUGCUCUUGGCCUACCCACAUACACUAUUUUCUAUUCCUGUUGUGAGCAUGGCUGUGCUGGAAGCAUAAGUGAAGCAUGUUAGGCAGAUUCAGCCAAACUGCAGAGCAAUAGGAUGUACACUGUACAAGAGAGAGUUAGAUUUCACUGCUUCAAGACUUGUCAUUGCAGGACAGCCAGGACACCAAGCUACUGGACCACCAAGAUGGCAGCCAGGUGCUGCCUGUCAGGGGAAGAGGAACCUCAUGCAGCACAUAAUGGCAUGCCAUCUCAGGUCGUGUGGGCCCUUGAGGAGGAAAGGCAAGCUAAUGAGGGAAGCAGAUGCAGUUUAGCCAUUCUUGUGUGUGCCACCAAGCAUUCAAGCAGUGCAAGUGUAGGCGCUUGUGCUCUUCAGUGCUCACCUCCCACAGCAGCCGGUCUGAAAGCUCCUUUCCCUGGCACUUCUCUUUACUUGUGAAUGGCUUCUUCCACAAAUAUCUACCACGAAUAUGCACAGAAUAAACCGCAGGUUACAGGCAAGAAAUGAUAGCAAUUUUUUUCCUCUGUUUCUUUCAUCUCUUAAACUAGCUGAAAUAAAUUAGCUAUGCUGCUGCCUUAAAUCACUGAUCACCUUCAGCAAGGUUCCCACUUUUUCACACCAAGUUUGCAGGUCAAAGUCCUAUUCUUUGUCAGAUCAGCUGACGUAGUUUGAGAAGUAGCCAAGGUUUGGGACAUAAUAGUUUCUUUUUUAUAUUUGGAAUGGAAGAAGCAAAAGAAAAAAAAAAGGAUCACUUGAAAUAUAGGUGAAUCAAAGCAAUUUCUUCUCUCUUUCUGGCAACAUGCAAUAGAUUUGACUUUCAUAUCACAUAAAUAUUGGGGGAAAAAGAAUGAUGUUUUAAGUUUUCAUUAGUAGUGGAAGAAAAGUAUUCAAAAGGAGCAUUUGCAACCAAAAGUCACUUUGUCAUGAAAAUUACGUAACUGCUACCAAAAAAAAACCCCUACCAACCGUAGAACAUAUUUUGAAGACCGGAAUCAGCUAACAAAGACUCCUUACUUGAUGAACAUAUAUUCACAUCCAUAUUCAAAACCUUUUAAAAUCAAUGGGUAUGUCGUGUUAAGAAUUAAGAUGGACUUUGAAAGGGGUGUUUCAACCAACCAACCAACCAACCAAAAGCCACUGGGUUGUUAUUGGGGAAGCUUCCUCUCCAUUGCAAAAAAAAAAAAAACCAACUGCAAACCACAACUUUUUUGCAGAUUCUUCUUCAUUCACUUUUGCAAUGACCAUGAGUGCUUAGCCUACCCCUUGAAUGUCCAGACAAAAUUCGUUAGCAGAUGCUCCAUUUCUACCGUAAGAACUAUAGCAGCUCUGGAGCAGGGAACAGAAAAGUAAUUGAUUCUCACCCACUGCUGUAAAUUCAUUGUUUCUCUCUUGUCAGUCACUGUCAGGGGUAGUGUAGGAGAAUGACUGAGAAGCAGAUGGCUACAUCUAAUAAAUUUUGCAGGCUCAUUUUGAAACCACCAAGGCAGUCAGCAGAAACUCUUCUGCCUGUGCUCCUGUCACCGGCAGCACUGAAAUCAUGUUCUGUGUGCUGCUGGUUGGUAAGCUGGUCAGGUAGGCAGUGUCAGCCUCUACCGAAAUGCCCAAAAUACCAGAGCAAGUUUCUUCCUCUUUAGUACAUGUCCCAUGGGGGUGGGAGCAGAGGAGAAACCUGGGGAACAAGUAGAAAUAAAUAGAAUGAUGCAUACCUCCUUCUUGAGGCCACUUUGAUGCUCUCUAGCACAACUGCAUGCAGGAUCGCCAAGGACUCUUUAGUAUUCAUCAGCAGCAAGAACCAAUUGCUGGAUCGUGCCGCUGGUGAUUUUACUCCCUCAGCAGGACUUACUCUCCUUCUUGCUUUCUGACAGCUCAGGAAGCUAUUCUCAGUGCAGGGUUGGGUGGGCCCCAGUAAUAUGUUGCAUAUGCCUUCAGCAGUUUUUCAAAGCAAUGGUACUUCACUGUAUGUACAUAUGCAGGUAUGCAUGCUGUUGUGGGUACGUUAUUAUUAGGCAGGCACGUUUUGCAGCCAUGCCAAAUACUUGUUAUCAUAUCAUAUCACAGAAUGGCCUGAGUUGAAAAGGACCAUAAUGGUCAUCGAGUUUCAACCCCCCCCUGCUAUGUGCAGGGUCACCAACCACUAGACCAGGCUGUCCAGAGCCCCAUCCAGCCUGGCCUUGAACACCUCCAGGGAUGGGGCAUCCACAACCUCCUUGGGCAACCUGUUCCAGUGCAUCACCACCCUCUGUGUGAAAAACUUCCUCCUAAUAUCCAACCUAAACCUCCCCUGUUUCAGUUAAUACCCAAAGGAGAACGGAGGUUCUCUGAAGAGAGUGCAGGGAGUCAAUUUCUGUUGUCGGUAGAAUCCAGGAAAGAAAAGAAAAUCUGUCCUCAGGGAUUCCUGUAAGUGACAUAUUUAAUAUUUUCUGGAGGAAAAAGUUAGUUUUCUCACACUGCUUCCAUUUUACCAAGAAAGUAGUCGUGUAUGCGUAUUCUGAGUAUAUAAAAUUGAUGGAGAAUAAUUAUGUAGUUAUUAGAAGCAGGAAAAAAUGGUUACAUGUUACUUACUUUUAGCCUGAGAACAACUUUGUAAAUAGUUCUUCAUAUAUUUAGAAAGUAAUAGUUCACCUACCUAUGAUAGAAGAUCCUUGCAGGUCCCAUGUGUCAGAGCAUGUCAGAACAGCCUCCCCUUUCAGACAGUCUGCAGGUAGAGGACUCAAAUGCUGUUGGGUUUUUUUGUUUGUCUGUUAUUUAAUAUAAUUUGCAGUUGAGCAGGUGAAAGAGUAUUAUGCUUGUUUUUUGUCAGGAGAGUUCUGUGUUGCAGGUUAGUGACCAUGGAGUUGAGCAGGGCAUUUACAGGCACAGUGAGGCAUCUGCCUGGCAGACCUUCACAGUAAUCCGUGGAAAGAAGGAAAAAACAAAAGAUCUAAAAAUUUUCAUAACAAAAUCACAUCAAGACAGCUUCUUUUCCAGAUAUGUAAAAACUUCGAAUGAUUUUAAAUCAAUAAGUUCCCAACUAAACCUGAACAUUUGUUGGCUUGCUUCUCUGAAUACUAAGAUAAAAGCAAAGCAUUUGGUUGAACAUUCUUGAAAAGCUAUUUUUGGCAUGUACAGCUAACCAGAGCUUGCAAAUUUUACAUUUCAAAAUGCAACUAAAUGUUUUGUAUGUUGUUUUAAUAUCUUCAAAUCACUUCCAGGUUGUAGAAUGCAAAAAUAAACAAGCAAACAAAGGAAGGAAGGAAGGAAGGAAGGAAGGAAGGAAGGAAGGAAGGAAGGAAGGAAGGAAGGAAGGAAGGAAGGAAAGAAGGAAGGAAGGAAGGAAGGACAGAAGGAGGGAAGGAAGGAAUAGAAACCUGUGCUGUGAAAUCAUUCUUUGAAGAAAACGUAUAUUGCACACUUGAUAAAAGAGCACUCUACUCAGAAAGCCCAGUGCACAGAGACACACAAAUAAACUUUUGAUACAACUGUAGAUCUCCCACUUGUUUAAAGAAACCAAGCCAUAGUGCUAGACAUAAUGGCCAUAAAUAUAGUUAGUGCAAAUGAUGCAUUGUUAGGUCUUCUAGGGACAUAUCUUCAGUGCUGAUCUCUGCUUUUCCAGGCUGCUUCCAGCUGGGAAAGCAUUCAGUUUCUAUGAAACAUGUCCUUCACACCUUCUCAUUUAGUUAUGAGUAUUCUUGUUAAACACCACAGCUGGUAGUUUCCACUUUUUAAUUGGCACAAAAUAGGUGAUUAUUUCAGAAAAGAAAAGAUCACUUUGUUUUUGGAGCUACAAGUAUAUUAGUAUUAGAGGUGUUAUUUUGUGAUAUUGAACAGCUGAUAGCUGUCUCUCCACACAUGCUUUCCUCAGACUGAGGAAAAUAAUCUAUAACUCUUAAGACCAAGUGUCUAAUACAUUCUGUUGUGUUCCUGGUGUGAGCACUUCCUUCCAUAACUCCCCUUUUCUCACCAAUAGCAUUUCACCAUUGAUGUGAAAAUAAUGUAGGAUACAAAUAAUGUUUUCCAUGAAAUAGCAGUGGGUUUCAGUCUCUGCUGUGUCUGCUGUGUCUGCUGUGUUUGCUUACUGCAAUAAAUGACUUUCCUUUCUUUUUGUGGGGAGACAAAUAAGGUGUGCUAGUAUAUUAUUUGCUUUUCUUCAAUAUCUGUCUUGCAGAUUGAGAGUGCACAUAACCAUUGGUUUUGGAAUAAACCUUUGGAGACUGCAGCAUUUCUUGCACUACACAAAGUAGAAGGUAUGGGGUUUUGCCACUUCUUUUGUGUGUUUCUCCUACACCAGGUAUUUUGCCUAUGAAAAUAGAGUAUGGCAAGAAAACACACUUGCAAUCCUUCUUCCAGUUUCGAUAGUUUGCGUCCACUGUUACAAUUUAAGACCAGGCAGAAUAUGCAAUUACUCUUACAAGACACAGACAGGCAAUCCUUACCCAAAGAAAAUGGUGCUGAUCCUACUUGUGCAUGUGGGUAAUUCUACCCAUGCAGGUGACGCUACUGGGAAACUCCACGCCUGAUGCAGUUCUUAGCAGCUGGAAAUGUGGUUUUUGGACUUGGGCCCUUUAAUAUUAUUUGAACCAUGCUGUGGUUCAUUUGCUCACAGUGAGUAACAUAUUACUCUGAACAGACUCCCACUAGCUUUGGGGAGUCUGUUCACAGUGCAAGGACCCAUUCAGUAGUCAAAAUCUGGCCUCAGGCACUGCGUGCGUUAUUACAGCAGAAACUCAUUUUGAGCUGUGCUUGGGGAAAGGCUGCACACCUCUCCAGGUGACAGCCGUCAGUGUGCAUGGUGCUGCUUCCCAGAUCAUCUCCAUGCAGCAGCUCUUCCAUAUGAGCUGUGCAGGCUGCCAGAAGCACAUGCAGUACGCUUCUCACAAGCUGCUGUGCAAACCUAUCACUAAAGUCUUCAGGCUCGUGGGUCCUGCUGGCUGUGUUGCCAUGUCCCGUUUGUGAGCCUUGAUGAGAUUGCUCCUGAGCUUUGUGUGCAUUUAGAGCCCUGGAGUGAGAUGUCAGGGACAGAAGCUGAGGGCUUUGGCACAAAUAAGAUCUUCCAAACUAAAUUUAGGGGAAACUCCACAAAACUCUAUUGAUUUUUUUUUCUUCUCUGUACUUAAUUCAAUAUCUCUUUGCUCUAGUAGGAUAGCAAAUUGAUAGAAUCGUGUGUCCCCUUUACCACGAUGUCAUUUCAAGACAGCAACUGCCUGCUUUUAAAAGGAUGUGGAGUGCCCUCAACUAUUUUGUCUGCAAGAGCUAUGUGCGCAGAAUUUUCAGUGAAAUGUUAAGUGCAGAGUGACAAGAGUGUUCAUAUGGCUGGCUCACUGUGAAACCCGGAAUGUGUAGCACUCACAUCAGUCUGUUGGUCUGAUCAGGUUUCCCUGCUUCACUUCUCCCCUCCAGCAAGGCAGAGCUGGCUGCCACGAGCAUCCCCUCCUGCUGCUAGGAGGAGCAGGUGAAAGAUGAGGCGAGAGUGACAAUGAGGGCAGCAGGGACUCAGGAGGGAGAAGAAAGCAGAGUGACUCACACUGGGGCUUCAAUGAUUGCCCUUAAGUGUGGCCACUGGUUACUGCUCUCACAUUUGCAGUGUUUGAGGUGUAGGAGGACAUGGUCCUCAAGAUAAGCGAACAAACAUCAGCUUUAGGGCAGUAGCCCUUCAUAUUUCAUUCCAUGGAGAGUAUCCUUCUACUAAUACUCCUAGGAAAGACCAACUGCGGAAUAGUCUGUCCUCACUUCCAUAUCUCCCAUCUGUUACACCCAGCUCCUCACACACUUAUACUAGUCCAUUGAUUUCUGGCUCUUGCUCACUAUGUGAGUCCCAUGGCAGGUGUCUGGGACCGAGCCUCAGCUCUGCCUUGUGAUGUGCAGGUACAGUGAUGCUUGUACAUAGGACAAAGCUGACAAAGCAGAAUAUUUCACAGCUGCCUCACAUACAGUUACGGGCACAACCAGCUUGAUGCUUAGGAUUACUCUAACACAGAAUCGUGGCACAAAUUCUUACAGCAAGGGCCAAAGGAGACCUACAUUCCUCUUUCAUGUGCCUGAGACCACAGUGUGUGAAGAUCAUGGUUUUAAUAUAGAUAUAACCACUAAGAGGAGAUUCAUACCUUGGCUGUUGGUCCCACUGUUACUUCAGAGUCUGCAGAUUUGCAGAAGGCAGCAGCAAAAUGGUGUCAUUGUAAUUCCUUGUGAAGAUUGGAACCUGUGCUGCAGUUUUCCCCCCCCCUUUUUUUUUUCUUUCCCUCAAGUCAAGAAAGUAAAUAUAGAAAGAACUCUACAAGAAAAGUUGAGAAUUAUGUUUCUAUAAAAGAAUUUCCAGAAAGUAACAAGUGACUAAUAUUACUGAUGCAACAUGAAUAUAAUAGGUGAAUCUCAGCAGUAUAUCACAAUCAUGAUACCUAUGCCUUAGGGUAUUAAGACGUGAUGUAAACUUGAGCACUUUAGAGACCUCUGAUCUGUAUUCUGUUACAGAGGUCUGAAAGCAGUAUCUCAUUAAAAUGAGGGGGAAAAAUGAAACAACACUCGAGUCUUUAAAAAGCUGCUGCUUUCUGGGAAGAAAAAAAAAAAAAAAGAUAUGCUCUUGUCAAAUUUCAGAUGUAAUCAUCAGCCUGAAGCAUGAGAUCUUGACAGUGUGCUAUUGUGCUAAAAUCUAUAGGAAAGCUGUCUGGACUCUUGAAAUUCUUCAGCAGAGGUUCAAGCAAAGGAAAAUAUUAACUGGAAUGGUCAAACCAGAUGAAAUAACACAUUUCUUUUUAGGACAAUUAUCCAACUGCUUCCAACAGAACACUGGGGGAGGAAAUCACUGUGAGGAAGCCACGUAUUGGAGCAGUUUGCCCUGGGCUGUUGAACUGCCUCCAUCCUUGUACAUUUUCCAGACCUACCUGGAUAAAACCUGAGUGCCCUGAUCAGAUAGAUCUCAGAGCCAACCCAGCAGAAGGUGAGACUGUCGACCUCCUGAGGUGCCUUCCAACCCAAAUGUUCAAUGUCCACUUUUGGAAUUGCAUCUGAGCAGUGGCUGAUAGUCCUGCUUUGUGGUGAUAUAUAUAUUAUAUGUAUAUAUAUAUACUACAUAUAUAUAUAUAUACAUAUAUAUUAGACAUAGAAAGGGGGUUACCUUUUGUAUGGGAAAAAUGAAAUCUGAACAUUUACAUGAAAAUAGAAGGUGCAGGAGUGUCAGCUGCACCCUUCUGAGCUUUCUGGCUAGGGUGGAGGCCUCAAGGGUGGGACACCCAACUCCAGGUCUGUGCUGCAUGACUCAGAGUAGAAGUUUGCACCCUACACUGCUCAGAUGGGUUGCAAAUGGCAAGCUGUCUGGACCAGAGUUUGAAUCAGCUUGCUAAUUACCCUUGAUAUGCAUGUGGUCACUAUUAUGUCUGUGGCUCAGUGAGGCACCAUGGCUUGAGGACCAAGUCCCAAGCCUUGAAUCCAGCAGCAGUCACAGGUGGUGCAGGGACAACUGCAGCUUGGCCCAGCUCCAGAUGGUGCUGAGUCUGUUUUGGUCCCUCUCUGCUUACAGGACAGCUUUGAGAUUCUGUAAUGGCCAGAGCAAGGUCACAUUGCAGCUUUACUCCUUCUUAUUACAAAGCUGGCAUGGCACAGCUGGGGUAGAUAAGAAGCAUGGGAGUAAAAGGAGAUGUUACUGGCCAAAUUGGCUCCUUAGCCAUCUCAGAGCCAGCACAGAGGGCUGCAGAGAACCCCCUAGCAGGCGAGGGUUUCUGGUGCUGCUCUGAGCAACCCCGUCAGAGGUUGGCUGCGAUGCACAGAGCCAAAAACUCCCGACUGUUAAUCCUGCCUCUGAAUCAGUCUCCAGAGGCCUCAAGCAAAGCAUUUCACCUCUCUGUUGCAACUUCUCCAUCUGUAAAAUUGGGAUAAUGACAUUUUACUAACUUGUAGGAGUGCUGUGAACUUUAAUUAAGGCAGCGUUUGUAAAACGCUUUAAUGAGGGAAAGCUCUAAGAACAAGUAGAUUAUUUGGUUAAGCUGCCUAUUGUGGUGCUCCCAGACCUGCCCAAAUAACUCAGAAUCCGUGUGUACAAACUGCAGAUUGUUAUCCUGCAAGCCUUCAAAGAUAAGCAUUUCAGGGCUUGAGACUUGGGUAGAUGGGAUUCAGUUUGGGAGCUCCCACUCCCAAGCACAGAAGUGUGCAGCACCUCCACUUGCUGCCAACCUAUUUUCCUUUAUUUUGCAGAUAACAAACAACAGUGAUUUAGCAAGAGAUGUCUUUAAAAAAGUUACAAUUCUAGAUGGUGGAAUAGCCUGCAAUACCAAAGGCUGAACGCAGGGCAUCCUUUUUCAUGCCUUUUUUUUUUCUGAGUGUAGUUGAAACCGCACACAUAAGGUGCAUACAUAUCUGUCUCAUGUCCUGCCAUCCCAUCCUGGUGGGAUGAUGGGCUGGAUGGGACCAGUACUUCAGCUCUUACAGCCCAUGGUAAAUCAGGACUGACUACACUGUAUCUUUGGUCCUUCAGGUCACCAAAGGCAGACAGACAUAGGGAUGCUGUGGGGAAGAUGUGCCUCCCUCCAAGGACCCUUCCCAGUACCCCUUCUUUUCAGAGUGGACAGAGGUGUAGAUGCCACUGCAGCCUUACCUGGGGACUAUGGCUCUUCUCUGCUCCCUCUUGGCACCCCAAGAGUAUCAGGAAGGAGCAGCUCCUCCAGUUAAGUCAUCUGGAACAGCAGUUAGGCCUGCAACUCUGUAUUUUAAUCUGAGGAAGAUUUAAUCAGUCCAGCUGUUAAUGCCAGCCUGUUGCUCUCUGAUCAAGGAUUAUUUAAGCUAUUAUUGAAAUACUGUGCUCAGAUCUCUAUUAUGGUGAAUAUUCACAGGAACAGUGCUCCUCUUGAGCUGAGCAAAUAAUGUGGAGCUGCUUGUUUUAGACAGAAUUCCACAUAUUCACUUUGUGUUACUUUCACAUUGCUGGUCAGGAACAAUGAUAUUUGUCCAGUGCUAGAAAUAAUUACUGGAACUCAUAUUUUGGUGACAUUUCAAGCAAGCUUCUGUGAUGGAAAUUGGCUUGCACCAUUUCCAAUUCCUUUAGGAAAGCAACAUCUGUCUGGUUAAGGGGUUUUGCACUAGAACUAGUGCCAAGCUUCCUAACUGAAUUUCCAUUCUUUACAUUUUAACCAUGUUUUCAAAUUUCAGACAUCUGAAUCAGUUUUCCUUUCAUCAGAUAUAAAAGAUGAUUGUCUGGAAAGAUGAAAAACCACUGAUCUAGCUGAAUCCAUGCUGCUUGUUUGUUGCUUUUACUACAGACACCUUGGCUUCCAGGUGUCCUCAAGAUUAAGCAACAUCUAGAUUUCAAGAAAGACUAUUCAGAGCAGCUGAUAUUGAGUCAGAACUAGAGUUCUAGAGUCAGUACUAGAGUCAGUACUACAGUCAGAACAGACCAAGAGUAAUGAACUUAAAUGUUUGCUUCUACUGCUCAGUUCAGAUACCUGAUGUGGUAUACAUGGGCAUGCAGGUAAAGAAAAACUGAGCUUCUGAAAUGAGCUACUAAUCAGGCUCAGCAAAUCAGUCAAUGUUACUGAUAAUUAUGAUUUUAGAGCAAAGUUCCAGUGAAGUCCUUUUUUUCCGAAGAACUCCUGUGAAACAACCCGCUCCCUUUUUUCAUUUAUGUGUUCUUAAUGAGGGUUUCAGAAAGGUACUUUCAAGAUUCAUGAAGAAUGAGAGACCUCCAAUUACUGCCCCACUUAACAGAAUGUUUUUAAUUGUUGGGUUUGUCAUGCAUUUGAAAACCAUUGUGUGGUAAAUCCAAUAAUCCAAAUUAUUAUUUCUUAAUCCAAUUAGGCAUUUAAUUAAACUGUACGAAGUCCAGCAGUGCUUUGGGAUUUUAUAUCUGCUUUUGGGCUUGUUUUAUUUUAGAAUUUUUGUUUGCCAUCAGAGGACAGAGCUCUAACACAGAACAACAAAGGUGUCCACCAUGCUGCCAUACUGAGCAGGGUUCUCAAAUAUUCCUAUCACAUUUCCCUCAACAGCCAAACCAGAUAGAAUUGUAGAUCCUAUCAUGAGCAACGGCAUUUUGUUCAUUCCUUCACCACCAUCAUGCUCGCUGCUGUGUAUUCACUUCGGUUUCCCUGUGACCUUCAGCUAACCUUCAGAUUUGUCCAGAAUGUUCCCAUGGGUUUUGGGUCCAAACUCGUGUGAAAGUUUGCUUAUAUAAAGUAGCAAAGCCCAGGAAACAGACUGAGAGUAGGGGAUGCAUGUGAAGUCUGUGAAUUCCACCAAAAUAAUUAUGUAACCAUAGAAUAUCUCCAAUUGGAAGAGACCUGCAAGGAUCUUUGAGUCCAACUCCUGGCUCCACGCAGUAGCACAACAACAUUCACACCCUAUGCCUGAGAGUGUUGUCCAAAUGCUCCUUGAACUCUGCCAGCUUGGGGUCAUGCUCACUGCCCUGGGGAGCCUGUUCCAUGCCCACUACCCUCUGAUGAAGAACUUUUUCCUGACACCCAGACCCGAUCAUCCCCUGACACAGCUCCAUGCCAUUCCCUUGGGCCAUGUCACUGUCAACAGAGAGAUCAGCACAGCCACUCUACCCCUGUGAGGAGUUGCAGCCGCCAUGAGGCCUCUGCUCUGGGUUGAGCAAACCAAGGGACUUCAGCUGCUCCUUACACAUUUUGCCCUCCAGACCAUCUUUGUAAUCCUCCUUUGGAUUCUCUCUAAUAGUGUUACGACCUUCUUAUGCUGUGCCCAAACCUGCACACAGUGUUUAAGGUGAGGCUGCACAGCACAAAGCAGAGCAGGACAACUCUUUCCCUCACUUGGCUAGCAGUGCUGGGUCUGAUACUUCACAGGGUACAGUGUGCCAGGGUGCACUGCUGAUUCAGAUUCAGCCUGCCAUCAAUCAGAACCCCCCAACAUAAGCAAACUGAAGUAUGCUUGAGCUAUAGCUGCUUUGCUUUUGAUAGAAGACCCCAACUAUUCAAACACACACUUCACUCUCCAAUAUGUCUUGCUACAUCUCCUCUAGUUCUUGUGGGAGAGGAGGAAGGAUGAUAAUGACAGCUCCCUUGUGCCCACACCUGGAAACUCUUCCACCCUUCCUCCUCGUGCUGGAGGGUGAUGUUCAGCGCAUGUUGAAGGCUUCCAGCAACUGAUUCAUUACCCCAUCAUACCAGAGUAGCAUCCAGCAUUGCUGUGUCAGUCCAGGGAGCCUUGUUGUAAAAUUUAGGUCUUACCAAUUCCUGCAAAGCACCAGAAGCCACAGAUAUCUGUCAUCCACUGGUGACGUAAAGACACAUAAUCGUGGUUAGAAAAUAUUUCAAGGAUGCAUUAGUGUUUCACUAACGUAAAUGUGAUAUUUACGUAUAGGUAAUAUUCUAAGUGGCAUCUUCGUGGUUCCCCUACAAUUAAAAUAAUCAGUGGAAAGAUGCCUUCUCUUUUUUUUUUUUCAGCAGUACAUUUGAUAUCUCAGCCAUUUAACACAGCAUUGAAAACAUUUUCUUUCGUGCUUUAAACCUAGAUUUGAAUAUAUCUAUUUUCUAUGAACCGAGUUCAGUACAAACAUGAUAAAAUUCUCACUAAAGGAAAGAAGCACCUGGUGUAUACUGAACUUGCUUAGGAGAUGGAUGGGAGGCACUGCAAAAAGUUGACUCAGCAAGAAAUCUUUCUGCAGAUUUUCAAGGAAAGGCUUUUUGCUCUUGCAUCUUUACAAACAUCUCUGGAUAUACUACAACAGCCCUAUAUGUAGACACACUUAUCCUGGAAUUGGCUGCUUUUCUAUUCACUGAGGCAGGAAAAAAAAGAUAUUUUUCCCCCAGAACACAGGAAUGACAUGAACAGCAAUACCUGCUGAAAUUCAUGCAUACCCUAAUGCUGUAUACUGUAUGCAUACUGUCACAUUUUUUUCAAAUGGAGAAAUACUAAAUUUAUUUCCACGUGUGGCUCUCUUGUAUCACUUAGCAUUGAUGUAUUAUUAAGGAAAGCCACGACUACCUAUGACUGCGUUGCACAUUCUGCAGGAACACACCUACUAGCCCUGAUAACAUGGCCAUGUGAUUUGCAUAAUAACUUUCUGUCUAUCUAAAUUCACGUUUCUAUUACGACUGUGCAUGCGAUUCCUAGUGUUUUUCUCUGCUGUUAAACAGAUGCUGCAUUUCAGACUUGGUGAAAUAGUUCUCUCUCUCUAUUUUUUUUUCCCUUCACAGAACUGCUUUGGGAUCUCUUUAGCUGAAAGAUAGCAUAUAAAUGCAAAUCACCCUUGGCCACAUAGCCCAGAAUUACUUUUGCAUUUUAUUCUUGAUCUGCUUCUGUAUAUAGAGCAUUCCUGAAAGACAGUGAAAUUAGAUUUACUCAUAUGGCUGACCUGCUUUGAGGAAAACAAACACAUGAUAGCCUUGUGCUACAUGAAUGUCAUGAUCUAAUGAAUGGUCCUGCUGAAAAGUAUCUCCUUUAAUUAAUUACUGACAAGACAAUUUCAUUUCAUUUAUAGCUUUAGAAAACAAACAAAGCAAAAAAUCCCAAAGCCUACAUAUAUGUAUGUCACACCUUCUCAAGUUUCUUUUUUCCCUAGUGUUAUUAACACAGAUAUAUACAUUUGCACCAAUAAUUGCUCUUUGUUUGAAUCCUUUUAAGCAAGUCUCCUUUAGUAAUGACUAUCACAAAACAUAUUCUGGCAGAAUAUGCAAAUUCUGCAAAAGAUAAGUCUGUUUAUGUUACUCAGUAAAGACAUAACGUUUACUCAAGAACAGAAACUCUACCUGCAUGCAAAUUAAAUUUAGAGCACUCCUUUGCAGAUAGUUAAAGUCUAUCAGGCCAGGGGCAAUCCAUGAAUGUGACUGCAGUGACGGAAGGUAAAGUGAGUAAGAAGUCUGAUCUGCAGACAGUGCACAUGUACCCGAUGCAGGAAAAUUCCCUCCAUGGGAUUGUCAAUGGUUUGUUCACCAUCCACAAGAAUUGGCUGCCUGUGUUAUGAAACUUUGGAAAAGCAGACAGAAAAGAAAUACGAAUAAAAACAAAACUCCAAUUAAAAGAGCUAGAGCCAAGUGCUUACUGCAUCACGC